AAUAAAUGCAUAGCAUUAAGGGACGGCUUACGAAUCAAUUGAAGAAGAUUAGAUCACUAUUAUAAAUGCACCAGAAAACUAUACCGGACACGCAAGUUAAUUCUGAAGCCCACUUUUCUACAAUCCUUUCAAUAUAUCCUUCAUUUAUUAUUCCUACAUGUAUGAUUAAGUGGACUGGAGAGAUCCAAACCCAGAAAUGCAUGCAGAUACAGGAGGACUAGCUAUGUGCAGUCCUCAGUGGGUCAGGCAGAGACAGUGCUCAUCAAACACGAUAUGCUUAUUUAUUUCUUAUGUUAAUAUAUUUUUCGUGCUUUUCUUGUGCAAUAUUAUUAAUAUUACAGAGGCAGCAGCUGCGAGAAUCAAGCUGCCAAGGAAUGCAAGUGUUUCAGCAGUGAUUAUAUUUGGAGAUUCGAUUGUUGAUACGGGCAACAACAACAACAAUUUCAAAACACUUGCACGCAGCAAUUUCCCUCCCUAUGGGAAAGACCUCAAGGGAGGGAUGCCAACAGGAAGAUAUUCCAAUGGAAAGGUUCCCUCGGACCUCAUAGCGGAAGCAUUAGGAAUCAAAGAGCUGUUGCCCGCAUAUUUGGAUCCAACCCUGCAGCCUAAGGAUCUCCUUACUGGCGUAGUAAUAGCUGCUGGUGGUGCAGGUUAUGACCCUUUGACAGCACAAGUCGCAGGAGUUGCAUCACUAUCCGACCAAUUGAAACAGUUCAAGGAGUACAUAAAAAAGCUAAAAGCAAUUGCUGGGGAAGAGAGAACAAACCUUAUCAUAUCAAAUAGUUUGAUUUUUGUGGUAGCUGGCAGCAACGAUAUUUCAAAUACCUAUUUUCUAACCGGUAUUAGAAAAUUGAAGUAUGAUGUUCCUUCUUACACUGACUUAAUGCUCAACUACGCCUCUGAAUUCGUCAAGGAGUUAAUUAUUUGGUAGGACUUGUAUGGAUUGGGGGCACGAAGAAUCGGUGUACUCAACACACCACCUAUUGGAUGCGUGCCAUCUCAACGAACGGUUGCAGGAGGCGUGCUAAGAGAAUGCGACGAGAAACAAAACCAAGCAUCGCAGCUCUUCAAUUCCAAACUCUCUGCAGAGGCUGAUGAACUUAACAAAAACCUGCUCAAUUCCAGGGUGGUCUAUAUUGACAUCUAUAAUCCACUGCUUGAUCUCAUCAACAACCCCACUAAAUACGGCUUUGAAGUUGCGAAUAAAGGGUGUUGUGGUAGUGGGAUUAUUGAGGUAACAAAACUGUGCAACCAGAUUCAGCCUGCAGGCACCUGUUCAGAUGACUCUAAGUACGUUUUCUGGGACAGUUACCAUCCAACAGAGAGAGCCUACAAGAUCAUUGUGCAGCAGAUUCUAGACAAAUAUACAUUUCUGUCUUACAAUAACAUAUUUUUCCUGCUUUUCUUGUGCAUUGUAAGCAAUACUACAGAGACAGCAGCUACGACAAUAAAGCUACCGGGGAAUGUAAGUGUUCCGGCAGUGAUUAUAUUCGGAGAUUCGAUUGUUGAUACGGGCAACAACAACAACAAUUUCAAAACAUUUGCACGCUGCAAUUUCCUUCCAUAUGGGAAAGACCUCAAGGGAGGAAUGCCAACAGGAAGAUUUUCCAAUGGAAAGGUUCCCUCGGACUUCAUAGUGGAAGCACUUGGAAUCAAAGAGCUGUUGCCAGCAUAUUUGGAUCCAACCCUGCAGCCAGAGGAUCUCCUUACUGGUGUAGUAAUAGCUGCUGGUGGUGCAGGCUAUGAUCCUUUGACAGCACAACUCUCGCGAGUUGCAUCACUAUCUGACCAACUGAAGCAGUUCCAAGAGUACGUAGAAAAGCUGAAAGGAAUUGCUGGAGAAGAGAGAACAAACUUCAUCAUAGCAAACAGUUUGAUUUUUGUGGUAGCGGGCAGCAACGAUAUUUCUAACACCUAUUUUCUUAGCGGUGCUAGGAAAUCGGAGUAUGAUGUUCCUUCUUACACUGACUUCAUGCUCAACUAUGCCUCUCAGUUCGUCAGGGACUUAUAUGGCCUGGGGGCACGAAGAAUAGGUGUACUCAAUGUGCCACCUAUCGGAUGUGUGCCAUCUCAACGAACAAUUGGAGGAGGCGUGCUAAGAGAAUGUGACGACAAACAAAACCAAGCAUCGCAGCUCUUCAAUUUCAAACUCUCUGCAGAGAUGGAUGGCCUUAACAAAAACCUGCCCAACUCAAGAGUGGUCUAUAUUGACAUCUACAAUCUACUACUUGAUCUCAUCAUAAAUCCUACAAAACACGGCUUUGAAGUUGGGAAUAAAGGGUGCUGUGGUAGUGGGAUUAUUGAAGUAACAAAACUGUGCAACCAGUUUCAGCCUGCAGGCACCUGUUCAGAUGACUCUAAGUAUGUUUUUUGGGACAGCUACCAUCCAACAGAAAGUGCAUACAAGAUCAUUGUGCAGCAGAUGCUAGACAAAUAUGCCAACCGCUUCUUCUGAGACAAGUCAUUAUUCUUAUGAUCAAUUUCCUUGCAAGUUGCAAGCAUGAUUAUUCUAUUCCAAUCAAUCAAUAAAACCCAGCAAGUUUAGAUGCACCAA